GGCAAUGUCCACGAUGUUCUCGGCUAUUCGAGGCAAAGCAAUCUUGAACCCAAGUCAGCAGAAGGUCAGCUGCGGGGAAGCCUUGAGGAAAUCCCCCCAGUGUGUUGGCUGAGGACGUGAAAGGAAACUCCACUAAAGCAAGAUGGGUCCGUCUCGAUUCUAGCUCCGCAGUGCGGCUCGACCGUAAUCAAAGAUACCGUUCUCCAAACCAGCAGAAGGAAGGAAAAAGUGCAACCAAGACCCACCAAGCUCGAAACUUUAGAGCUGAAAGGGCCAUUUCAACCCUGAGAUAAAAGCAACUAGCAUGAGCGUGCCUCUGUUUCUAGGCAUAAAACAUCACGGGACAGAUGUAAGAGACCAGUAAACUCCCAUGGAGCAUUUCCCGGCCAGGAUUUCGGUGUAGAUAGCCCACUCCUGCUUCCAGGACAGCACUUAGCCCAGUGCCAUCUGGGCUAGGGGAGGGGGCCAGCAGGACUUUGGGACUCGGUGGCUGUAGUCAGGGGGGACCUACAGGAAGCCACUCCUGCCUUCCCAAGCAUAGGCAGCACAUGUCCUUAGCAUCUUUCCCUACUUUUUCUUGUGUAUCACUUUGUGUCCCAAGGCCUGAUCGCAACUCUGGUCUUAUCUGCUCCCAUAAACACAUCUUUGAGAAAGGACCUGCUGGGCGGUGGUGGCCCACGCCUUUAAUCCCAGCACUCGGGAGGCAGAGCCAGGCGGAUCUUUGUGAGUUCGAGGCCAGCCUGGGCUACCAAGUGAGUUCCAGGAAAGGUGCAAAGCUACACAGAGAAACCCUGUCUCGAAAAACCAAAAAAAAAAAGGACUGAAAGAGGUCUGUGGGCAUUUGAUAACCAAAGGGGCAGACUCAAAUGGGUACUCGCUCGGUGGGGCUACAGGGCUAUUGAGGUGAGCUAAGAAUGCAGCUCAGUGCUCAGUGGUACAGUACUUACCCAGUGAGCUGCAUGCUCGAGUACUGAUUUGGGGGGGCGGGCAGGAAAAUGUGGGAGAAAUAGACAAAGGCCAAAGCCCCUGGCCACAACUGGCCUGCUCCUUCGCUCUUCUCUGUGGCCACCUUUCUUCGGUGACACCCUGUGGGAGAGAAGGAAAACAGGUCCUCCAUAGCAUCAGGACUUUCUCACCUCUUCCUGGAACCGAUGCAAGGGUAGGUCCAGGCAGGAGCGAGGCCCGCCGUCUGUCCAUCAUACAGAGGCAUGUAACACCUUCUCUUCUCUGACCAUCAGAAAAAAACUGAUCUUGCUCAGUCUGGCCCUCUGGGAAGAAAGGAGGCCCUCUGAGGCCCUCAGACCUCAUGGCCACCCUCUAUCCAGGUACCUAUGCUCCCCAUCUGUGUGACUGACAUCUUCAGCCCCUUCCUCGUUUUGAAAGGUACCAUUGUCACGAAUACUGGAGACUUUCCCAGCAAGGGCUCUGGGAAGCUAUGCAGAGAUAUCCAGGUCAGGGAGGGAUGAGACCCUGUGGGAAAAGGACCCCUCGUGCGAGGCUAAGUUCCUUAGGAACAAAAGCCGCCGCUUUGGCUGGUCAAGUGACUGGGGGAUUGCUUGCUGAGUUCCAAAACCAGCCAGGGAGGGGAACAAGGUAAGGAAAGGGUUGAACCAUAAACGCAAGACAAAGAACAGGCAGUUCCGAGGAGCCAAGAAUGCAAAUCAUUUGCAGGCCUCGCUGAGACGCUCCACCAAGGACCCCGUGUGGGAGGCGGGAAGGCCUGCCACCACUGCAGAGGCUGUAGCGAGGAAGGGACCCUAGCAAAUGCCGCCGCCGAGAGCGAAGUGCAGCUGAAGAUGUUCUGAGCAUACAGUGGGUCCUUUCUCUCCCAGCAGGGACGUGAUGAUGUCCCCGCUAAAAUGCACUUAGAUCAGCCCCAUGCAGGAGGGGCCUGUUUUAAAGCUGGAAUGGAUGAAUAACCUAGAAGGCAAAGCUCAGCCAGGCAGCCCUAGAUGGCGACUCAUCUGACUCCUUUCCCUCCAUCCCUGCUCUUCUCGCUCCAUCCAGCUCAGAAGUCUCUCGCUUCAUCAGCCCGGCCCUUUGGCAGCCCUGACCCGAGUGAUUCAGAUGUUGCUUCUGAGACAUCACAGACGUUAUCAUCUCACUCAUGGGAUUGCUGAUGAUGUGUCCCUCAGCCACCCGCCUUGGUGGCCAUUUCACAGCUCAAUUUCCAUGGAAAUGAAACCAAUAAAAUAGAGGGUUGACUUUA